UACGUAGGGUGCAAGCGUUAAUCGGAAUUACUGGGCGGAAAGCGUGCGCAGGCGGCUUUGCAAGACAGAUGUGAAAUCCCCGGGCUUAACCUGGGAACUGCAUUUGUGACUGCAUGGCUAGAGUGCGGCAGAGGGGGAUGGAAUUCCGCGUGUAGCAGUGAAAUGCGUAGAUAUGCGGAGGAACACCGAUGGCGAAGGCAAUCCCCUGGGCCUGCACUGACGCUCAUGCACGAAAGCGUGGGGAGCAAACAGG
rnacentral:rRNA from 1 species